UCUCCUUUAGCUCAGUGGUUAGAGUUUUGUGCUUAUGAGGUUGCCUGUUUUCACAAAUGUCGGCAGUUCAAACCUGUCAAGGAGAA
rfam:Cryptococcus bestiolae CBS 10118 unplaced genomic scaffold supercont1.2, whole genome shotgun sequence.